rnacentral:misc_RNA from 1 species
GGAAGUAAAAGUCGUAACAAGGUCUCCGUUGGUGAACCAGCGGAGGGAUCAUUACCGAGUUUACAACUCCCAAACCCCCUGUGAACUUAUACCAUUUACUGUUGCUUCGGCGGGUCAUGGCCCCGGGGAAGGACAGCGGUCGCCGUCAGGCCUCAGCUGCCCGCCCCCGGAAACAGGCGCCCGCCGGGGAACUCAAACUCUUCUGUAUUUCUUUAUCUAAUAUAUACUGUCUGAGUAAAAACUAAAAUGAAUCAAAACUUUCAACAACGGAUCUCUUGGUUCUG